UUCUCGGGUUUCUGGGAGCUCCCAAAUCCAGGACGAGCCCCCCAAAAUGUAAGACCCCCUUUUGGUGGCCCCCCCAUUAUAGUCUUGGGAGUAAGAGAGCACCCAAAGAAACAUGAGAAUCC
rnacentral:pre_miRNA from 7 species